GGGUUGUGAGGUUAAGCGACUAAGCGUACACGGUGGAUGCCCUGGCAGUCAGAGGCGAUGAAGGACGUGCUAAUCUGCGAUAAGCGUCGGUAAGGUGAUAUGAACCGUUAUAACCGGCGAUUUCCGAAUGGGGAAACCCAGUGUGUUUCGACACACUAUCAUUAACUGAAUCCAUAGGUUAAUGAGGCGAACCGGGGGAACUGAAACAUCUAAGUACCCCGAGGAAAAGAAAUCAACCGAGAUUCCCCCAGUAGCGGCGAGCGAACGGGGAGCAGCCCAGAGCCUGAAUCAGUGUGUGUGUUAGUGGAAGCGUCUGGAAAGGCGCGCGAUACAGGGUGACAGCCCCGUACACAAAAAUGCACAUGCUGUGAGCUCGAUGAGUAGGGCGGGACACGUGGUAUCCUGUCUGAAUAUGGGGGGACCAUCCUCCAAGGCUAAAUACUCCUGACUGACCGAUAGUGAACCAGUACCGUGAGGGAAAGGCGAAAAGAACCCCGGCGAGGGGAGUGAAAAAGAACCUGAAACCGUGUACGUACAAGCAGUGGGAGCACGCUUCGGCGUGUGACUGCGUACCUUUUGUAUAAUGGGUCAGCGACUUAUAUUCUGUAGCAAGGUUAACCGAAUAGGGGAGCCGAAGGGAAACCGAGUCUUAACUGGGCGUUAAGUUGCAGGGUAUAGACCCGAAACCCGGUGAUCUAGCCAUGGGCAGGUUGAAGGUUGGGUAACACUAACUGGAGGACCGAACCGACUAAUGUUGAAAAAUUAGCGGAUGACUUGUGGCUGGGGGUGAAAGGCCAAUCAAACCGGGAGAUAGCUGGUUCUCCCCGAAAGCUAUUUAGGUAGCGCCUCGUGAAUUCAUCUCCGGGGGUAGAGCACUGUUUCGGCAAGGGGGUCAUCCCGACUUACCAACCCGAUGCAAACUGCGAAUACCGGAGAAUGUUAUCACGGGAGACACACGGCGGGUGCUAACGUCCGUCGUGAAGAGGGAAACAACCCAGACCGCCAGCUAAGGUCCCAAAGUCAUGGUUAAGUGGGAAACGAUGUGGGAAGGCCCAGACAGCCAGGAUGUUGGCUUAGAAGCAGCCAUCAUUUAAAGAAAGCGUAAUAGCUCACUGGUCGAGUCGGCCUGCGCGGAAGAUGUAACGGGGCUAAACCAUGCACCGAAGCUGCGGCAGCGACACUAUGUGUUGUUGGGUAGGGGAGCGUUCUGUAAGCCUGUGAAGGUGUGCUGUGAGGCAUGCUGGAGGUAUCAGAAGUGCGAAUGCUGACAUAAGUAACGAUAAAGCGGGUGAAAAGCCCGCUCGCCGGAAGACCAAGGGUUCCUGUCCAACGUUAAUCGGGGCAGGGUGAGUCGACCCCUAAGGCGAGGCCGAAAGGCGUAGUCGAUGGGAAACAGGUUAAUAUUCCUGUACUUGGUGUUACUGCGAAGGGGGGACGGAGAAGGCUAUGUUGGCCGGGCGACGGUUGUCCCGGUUUAAGCGUGUAGGCUGGUUUUCCAGGCAAAUCCGGAAAAUCAAGGCUGAGGCGUGAUGACGAGGCACUACGGUGCUGAAGCAACAAAUGCCCUGCUUCCAGGAAAAGCCUCUAAGCAUCAGGUAACAUCAAAUCGUACCCCAAACCGACACAGGUGGUCAGGUAGAGAAUACCAAGGCGCUUGAGAGAACUCGGGUGAAGGAACUAGGCAAAAUGGUGCCGUAACUUCGGGAGAAGGCACGCUGAUAUGUAGGUGAAGUCCCUCGCGGAUGGAGCUGAAAUCAGUCGAAGAUACCAGCUGGCUGCAACUGUUUAUUAAAAACACAGCACUGUGCAAACACGAAAGUGGACGUAUACGGUGUGACGCCUGCCCGGUGCCGGAAGGUUAAUUGAUGGGGUCAGCGCAAGCGAAGCUCUUGAUCGAAGCCCCGGUAAACGGCGGCCGUAACUAUAACGGUCCUAAGGUAGCGAAAUUCCUUGUCGGGUAAGUUCCGACCUGCACGAAUGGCGUAAUGAUGGCCAGGCUGUCUCCACCCGAGACUCAGUGAAAUUGAACUCGCUGUGAAGAUGCAGUGUACCCGCGGCAAGACGGAAAGACCCCGUGAACCUUUACUAUAGCUUGACACUGAACAUUGAGCCUUGAUGUGUAGGAUAGGUGGGAGGCUUUGAAGUGUGGACGCCAGUCUGCAUGGAGCCGACCUUGAAAUACCACCCUUUAAUGUUUGAUGUUCUAACGUUGACCCGUAAUCCGGGUUGCGGACAGUGUCUGGUGGGUAGUUUGACUGGGGCGGUCUCCUCCUAAAGAGUAACGGAGGAGCACGAAGGUUGGCUAAUCCUGGUCGGACAUCAGGAGGUUAGUGCAAUGGCAUAAGCCAGCUUGACUGCGAGCGUGACGGCGCGAGCAGGUGCGAAAGCAGGUCAUAGUGAUCCGGUGGUUCUGAAUGGAAGGGCCAUCGCUCAACGGAUAAAAGGUACUCCGGGGAUAACAGGCUGAUACCGCCCAAGAGUUCAUAUCGACGGCGGUGUUUGGCACCUCGAUGUCGGCUCAUCACAUCCUGGGGCUGAAGUAGGUCCCAAGGGUAUGGCUGUUCGCCAUUUAAAGUGGUACGCGAGCUGGGUUUAGAACGUCGUGAGACAGUUCGGUCCCUAUCUGCCGUGGGCGCUGGAGAACUGAGGGGGGCUGCUCCUAGUACGAGAGGACCGGAGUGGACGCAUCACUGGUGUUCGGGUUGUCAUGCCAAUGGCACUGCCCGGUAGCUAAAUGCGGAAGAGAUAAGUGCUGAAAGCAUCUAAGCACGAAACUUGCCCCGAGAUGAGUUCUCCCUGACCCUUUAAGGGUCCUGAAGGAACGUUGAAGACGACGACGUUGAUAGGCCGGGUGUGUAAGCGCAGCGAUGCGUUGAGCUAACCGGUACUAAUGAACCGUGAGGCUUAACCUUACAACGCCGAAGCUGUU
rnacentral:rRNA from 1 species